UAUGGACUAUCCAUAUUCAUAAAAUAGGUCACAAAUUCGUAUCAUAUAUAAUGACAUAACCCGACUUUUCCUCUCAUAUUCCUCACACAAUCAAAGAAACAAACGGCGAUUAGGGUUUUCUCCCUACUUUUCAAAUCAAACAAAACAAGAUCCAAGGGUUUCAUCAUCUUCGAGAAUAUGUCUUUCUGGCUAAUCUAAUGGCAUCAUUACCAAGGUUUUUUACCUCUUGGAUCACAAAUCUUUGAUUCUGUUCUAAAGGCUUCAUCACCAAGGCCCUAAAGUGUGAGACUGAGGCAUCAAAUUAACAUAACGAGCUAUGGUUACGAGCUGAGCCUUACCGGGGUUUGAACCUUUGGAGCCUCAUUGACACAAAUUCUAGAGUUAGAGAGGGAGGCGAUAGAUUGGUGAAGAACACUUGUACUAGACGGU
rnacentral:lncRNA from 1 species